ensembl:snRNA U6 U6 spliceosomal RNA
GUGUUUGCUUUGGCAACACAUAUACUAACAUUGGAACAAUACAGAGAAUAUUAGCAUGGCUCCAGAGCAAAGUGUUCCAUAUUUCUCAGAAAGACUCAAAAAUAUU